rnacentral:rRNA from 1 species
UACGUAGGGUGCGAGCGUUGUCCGGAUUUAUUGGGCGUAAAGAGCUCGUAGGCGGUCAGUCGCGUCUGCUGUGAAAACUCGGGGCUUAACUCCGGGCCUGCAGUGGGUACGGGCUGACUAGAGUGCGGUAGGGGAGACUGGAAUUCCUGGUGUAGCGGUGAAAUGCGCAGAUAUCGGGAGGAACACCAAUGGCGAAGGCAGCUCGCUGGGACGUGACUGACGCUGAGACGCGAAAGCGUGGGGAGCAAACAGG